rnacentral:miRNA from 1 species
ACCCAAAGCCUCUGGAGCACAGUGGGAGUUCCCGCUGCGCUCCAGAGGCUUUGGGU